rnacentral:rRNA from 1 species
CUUGGUCAUUUAGAGGAAGUAAAAGUCGUAACAAGGUCUCCGUAGGUGAACCUGCGGAGGGAUCACUACAGGCUUGUAAAAGCUCUGAAACCACUGUUUAUUUACCUUAAUCUGCUUCGGCGGGCGGCCCCAGGGCGGGGCCGUAGCCGCAAGGCGCCCGCCGAGGACCCCUAAACUCUGUCGUCUUGAGAAUCUCUGAGUAAUUAUAUUAAACAAAAACAACUUUCAACAACGGAUCUCUUGGCUCUGGCAUCGAUGAAGAACGCAGCGAAAUGCGAUAACUAGUGUGAAUUGCAGACCUCAGGAAUCAUCGAAUCUUUGAACGCACAUUGCGCCCGCCGGUACUCCGGCGGGCAUGCCUGUCCGAGCGUCAUUGACAACCCUCAGGCCCUGGUGCCUGGUGUUGGGGCACUACAGCGCGCUGUAGGCCCUGAAAUCCAGUGGCGGGACCGCUGAAAACCCGGGCGUAGUAACUUUACAUCGUCUAGGGUGUUCCGGCGGGGCUCAGCCGUUAAACCCACCAAAUUUAUCAUAUUUGGCCUCGGAUCAGGUAGGAUUACCCGCAGAACUUAAGCAUAUCAAUAAGCGGAGGA